rnacentral:rRNA from 1 species
UGGGGAAUAUUGCACAAUGGGGGAAACCCUGAUGCAGCGACGCCGCGUGAACGAAGAAGGUAUUCGUAUCGUAAAGUUCUGUCCUAUGGGAAGAUAAUGACAGUACCAUAGAAGAAAGCUCCGGCUAAAUACGUGCCAGCAGCCGCGGUAAUACGUAUGGAGCGAGCGUUGUCCGGAAUUAUUGGGCGUAAAGGGUACGCAGGCGGUUUAAUAAGUCGAAUGUUAAAGAUCGGGGCUCAACCCCGUAAAGCAUUGGAAACUGAUAAACUUGAGUAGUGGAGAGGAAAGUGGAAUUCCUAGUGUAGUGGUGAAAUACGUAGAUAUUAGGAGGAAUACCAGUAGCGAAGGCGACUUUCUGGACACAAACUGACGCUGAGGUACGAAAGCGUGGGGAGCAAACAG